CGUCUCGUAAAUCUUUUUCUGAAGGCAUUUUAGGUGUCUUUCACUUCAAGUGUAGAUGGUAAGAAAGUGGUCUGAAAAUGAAAACUAAUUAUAAAAUAUACAUUAAAAUAAUUAAAACUUAACGGGCAAUUAUGAUCGCCAUAUUGUGAAACCCUACAAUGAGGAAUCUUUCCUCUACUUAAAAUUUUAAUCUACAAAACUCUUUAAACAA